AUGGGGGCAAAAAUUGACCGCUCUGUAAAUGAUGGGGGGGGUCCAAAUUAUUUUAAAAUCAAUGGUCAGGUUUGCCAUCGUAUAGGCUCACUGCUUCCAAAUGAGGGUGAUUCUCCCAAAUAUGCAGAGUUAUACAUACAUGACAGAGAAAAUGAGGUUAACAAUAGAAUUCAGGCUUUAAACCAUGAAAAUGAAACUGGUGCAGGGUUAGACAAAGAGAUUGUGAAGGGUCUUAUGCAGAUGCUUGAUGUGAACAAUUCUUUGGUCAAGAAAUUUCGUAUGGCCAGUGAGAUUCUGAAAAAUAAUAGGCAUGAAGUGAUUUCAAUAAGACUUAUAGCUCCUGGUGAAAAUGAUAGUGCACAGUUUAAUUUACCUGCAACUGAUGAGCUAGCAGCCUUGGUUUAUGGUGAAUUUACGUUGGAGGCACCAUGUAGAGACCUGAUAAUACGUACUAAAGAAGACCGUCUUCGUCGUAUUUCCUCCUUAGAUACUACUUACAUGCCUUUGCAAUACCCUCUGUUAUUCCCCUAUGGUGAGCGUGGCUUUCAGCUCGGUGUGCGCUACAUUGAUUAAAAUACCGAUGAUCCAAACAAGAGGGUUAAAAUGACCAUGCAAGACUUCUAUUGCUUCUGCUCGCAUUAUAAACCGGAGCAGCAUAACCCAUAUCUAUGCUGUGGCCUGUUAUCCUCACAGGCUGCUGUUGAUUUUUGAGCUUGCAUUGAUGAAUGCCGGCUCAAUUUUAUUCUUAAGUGUAAUGAUGACAUGCGGGCUGAAAAUCUUCAGGUAUCGUCGAUGCGGUAG
rnacentral:rRNA from 1 species